rnacentral:rRNA from 1 species
GAUGAACGCUAGCGGCAGGCUUAACACAUGCAAGUCGAGGGGUAUAGUUCUUCGGAGCUAGAGACCGGCGCACGGGUGCGUAACGCGUAUGCAAUCUACCUUUUGCAGAGGGAUAGCCCAGAGAAAUUUGGAUUAAUACCUCAUGGUAUGUGAGAAUGGCAUCAUUUUCACAUUAAAGUCACAACGGCAAAAGAAGAGCAUGCGUCCCAUUAGCUAGUUGGUAAGGUAACGGCUUACCAAGGCAACGAUGGGUAGGGGUCCUGAGAGGGAGAACCCCCACACUGGUACUGAGACACGGACCAGACUCCUACGGGAGGCAGCAGUGAGGAAUAUUGGACAAUGGGCGCAAGCCUGAUCCAGCCAUGCCGCGUGCAGGAUGACGGUCCUAUGGAUUGUAAACUGCUUUUGUACAGGAAGAAACACUGGUUCGUGAACCAGCUUGACGGUACUGUAAGAAUAAGGAUCGGCUAACUCCGUGCCAGCCGCCGCAGUAACAC